GUUAAAAUCUUGGCAUUUAAAUUUCGACCAUCGUGGGUGAAAGUUACUGUUGUGAUUGCUUAGACUACAGAAAAGGAAAUACUAACCACCAUAUAACGUUGGAUUGCUAUCACUUAUCACGUUUUGAUAACUCUCUAUCACUUUUGACGUGUUUGUGAACUGAAGUUAAUGCAAAAUACAUAUAUUAAAAGAUUAAUUAUUAUUCUCCGAAAAUGCAGUUUAUUUAUGUUUUGUUUACAUUUUUAACAAUGUUGGUGGUGUGUUAUGGCAAGUGGAUGACGUAUUCACAAUUUUUUGAGGAGCAGCAGAGAAAAAUAGAUAUGCCUACCGACGACGUUGAUUGUAUAAUUAAUAGAUCAAACUUUCCCUAAUCCUAUCCUAUUGGUAACCGUCAUCACCAGGAGGAAAUCCAGGAGGAGGAUAUAAUAGAAAUAUUUUACAUUAUUAAAAAUAUAUUGUUAUGUAUAACGUUUUUUAUUAUUAAUAAAAGCCAAUUUUAUCUCG